ensembl:lncRNA novel transcript
AAGAGUUAAAUGAAAUACUGGUUUUUUAAAUGGUUAGAACAGAGACUGAUGCACAUAAGUAUUCAUUAUUAUAAUUCAGUUUUUGCAUUCUUUAAAGUGAAGCUGUGUUGUUGCAGUAUUUUAAGGAUAUAUUGUUCCCCAAAUUUUUGGGUAAAAUUGACUGUUAAGGAAGAUGAGUCAUGUUUAAACUGUAAUUGUGAGUAGACCACCCUUUAUCCUUGAAGGGCUUUCUCAACCAGGUGAAUGGCAUGGCUGUGGUGGGAAAUACAGGGCCCUGUGAGACAGGAAAUCUAGGGGGUUGUCUAGCUCCAUUACCAUCCUCUUCUUUUAUGGAUUCAGUGUCUUGUUCUUUUGUUCCAUGUGAGAAUCAUCCCUGCCCUGCCUACGUUAUAAAGCUGGAGAAAAAUGAAAUAAGUAAAAACACAUGGAAAACGUACUAAAAUAUUAAUGCAAGGAUGCAAGGUAUAAUCUUUGCUGGAACAUUAGUUCCUCAUUUAUUAGUAACAUUACAGGCAUUUGAAAUUAUGUACUUUAUAUGGGACCUAUAUUUUAAAUAUAUGCUAAUCAUCCUAGAAGCCCUACAAGGUAGGUGUUACUUUUUUCCAUUUUACCAUUAAGGAAAUUAUCCAGGUUUACACAACUUGAACCCAGGUCUCUGUCAGUAAAAAACUGUCUACUCUUCCAAACCAUUUUAUCUAUCCAUAUUUAUUUCCUCCAUCAAACAUUAGUUGAAUGCAAUGUGGUGUAUCACCCAAGGUCGGCUGGCAUCUUGAAAACAAUAACUAUGUGUUACUCAGCAUCUUAGCACCUAGCAAAGAGUGGAGAAUAUAACAGUCUUUCAAUUAAGUUUUGUCGAAGAAAGAAAUGAAGGCUCUUGGUCUUUAGAAAUUCACAAAUCAGCUGAGGAGACAGACAUACUAACCAACAGCAUAUGAUCAGCAUGUUCUAAUUGGUACUGUCUCUGGAAUAAAACAGCUGGCAGCAAAAAAUGUCUGACUUUUGCAGAGAAACUCCUAAUAUGAGUUUGACUGCUGUCCCACAUCUACCUAUGUGGUCGUAGUGCUGUAGUCACUGUUGUUACCCUAAGAGGACAGCCUUGUUCCUCCAGGUCUCUUACAACUCUCUUUUAAGGAGCUCGUAUUAGAUCCCUAGAGCUGCUGUAAUGCAUUGCCCAAAUCUUGUGACUUAAACCAACAGAAAUUUAUUAUCUCAUAGUUCUGGAGGCUAGAAGCCUGAAAUGAAGGUGUCUGCAGGCUUCACUCUCUCUGAAAUUUUUAUGAGAACAUUUUUCAUGUGAUUUAGAGCCCACCUGGGUAAUCCAGGAUGAUAUCAUCUCAAGAUUCCUAACUUAAUUACACCUGUAAAAUCCAUUUUUCCAAAUAAGGUCAUAUUCACAAGUUCUGAAGACUAAGGCAUGGACAGAUCUCAUUGGAAACCAUCAUUCAACCCACUGCAAAGCUUUAGCCAAUUCCCAGCUAUGAAUUCUUCCAAGAUGAAAGGAUACCAAGCUCAAGACUCUCCCUUGUUCAUUUGAGGCCUUCCCAAAGAUGACUGACAUUUUCACAAAUUUUAUUUGGUUUCAUUUCCUAUCUUAACGAAAACAAUGAUAAUUUCCUAUCUUAAUGAAAAAAAUGAUAAUGUUUAUACUGUAUGAUAAUUAAAACAUCAUGUAAAGAUUACUCUUUAUCUAAAUGUUUGCACAUACUCUUUGAACAUCCAUCAUUUUUCCAGCAGUUAUGAUUUUUUCUUCCCAGGAAUAUGGGAAUGAAGUGAAAUUGACAACUUUUCCCCCACGCAUUGUAUCCUCUUUUAAUGCCACCCCCUGUGUUUAACAGCCUCUGACACAAUGUAGGAGCAAUCCAUGGUACUCAAAGAAUAUUAUGGAAUUUAACAACAAGUAUAUAUAUUUGUCUUGA